GUCCAGACUCCUACGGGAGGCAGCAGUGGGGAAUAUUGCACAAUGGGGGAAACCCUGAUGCAGCGACGCCGCGUGAGUGAGGAAGUAUUUCGGUAUGUAAAGCUCUAUCAGCAGGGAAGAAAAUGACGGUACCUGACUAAGAAGCCCCGGCUAACUACGUGCCAGCAGCCGCGGUAAUACGUAGGGGGCAAGCGUUAUCCGGAUUUACUGGGUGUAAAGGGAGCGUAGACGGAUAAGCAAGUCUGAUGUGAAAAUCCGGGGCCCAACCCCGGAAUUGCAUUGGAAACUGUACGGCUGGAGUGCUGGAGAGGUAAGCGGAAUUCCUAGUGUAGCGGUGAAAUGCGUAGAUAUUAGGAGGAACACCAGUGGCGAAGGCGGCUUACUGGACAGUAACUGACGUUGAGGCUCGAAAGCGUGGGGAGCAAACAGGAUUAGAUACCCGCGUAC
rnacentral:rRNA from 1 species